rnacentral:rRNA from 1 species
GACGAACGCUGGCGGCAUGCCUAAUACAUGCAAGUCGAGCGAACAGAUGAAGUGCUUGCACUUCUGACGUUAGCGGCGAACGGGUGAGUAACACGUAAGGAAUCUACCUAUAAGCGGGGGAUAACAUUCGGAAACGGGUGCUAAUACCGCAUAAUAUCUUCUUCCGCAUGGAAGAAGAUUGAAAGACGGCUCUGCUGUCACUUAUAGAUGACCUUGCGGUGCAUUAGUUAGUUGGUGGGGUAAUGGCCUACCAAGACGAUGAUGCAUAGCCGACUGGGGAGGGUGAUGGGCCAAAUGGGGACUGAGACACGGCCCAAACUCCUACGGGAGGCAGCAGUAGGGAAUCUUCCGCAAUGGGCGAAAGCCUGACGGAGCAAUGCCGCGUGAGUGAAGAAGGCCUUCGGGUCGUAAAACUCUGUUAUAAGAGAAGAACAAAUUGUAGAGUAACUGCUACAGUCUUGACGGUAUCUUAUCAGAAAGCCACGGCUAACUACGUGCCAGCCGCCGCCGUAA